UGGCAACCAUUAACUUCCUAUAAAUUAUCAA
rnacentral:piRNA from 1 species